rnacentral:rRNA from 1 species
AAUUAUGGACAAUGGGGGAAACCCUUACCCAGCCAUCCCGCGCGUAUGAAGAAGGCCUUCUGGUUGUAAAGUAUUUUUGGCAGAGAAGAAAAGGUAUCCCCUAAUACGGGAUACUUCUGACGGUAUCUGCUGAAUAAGCACCGGCUCACUACGUGCCAGCAUCUGCGGUAAUACGUAGGGUGCAAGUAUUAAUCGGAAUUACUGGGCGUAAAGCGUGUGUAGGCGGUUCGGAAAGAAAGAUAUGAAAUCACAGGGCUCGACCUUGGAACUGCAUUUUUAACUGCCGAGCUAGAGUAUGUCAGAGGGGGGUAGAAUUCCACGUGUAGCAGUGAAAUGCGUAGAUAUGUGGAGGAAUACCGAUGGCGAAGGCAGCCCCCUGGGAUAAUACUGACGCUCAGACACGAAAGCGUGGGGAGCAAACAGG